rnacentral:sRNA from 1 species
CGAGCAGAGAAGAUUCCAUGGCCAGGCCCCGCUGGAGGAGAUGAGGAAGGCUGCCGAGGAUCUGCAAAUUCAUACGCUGAUGCCUACCUCCUGGUACUUGGAGUAUCCUGGGCUGUGGGAGACACGCAGGAAUGAAGGAAAGUGCUUUGCUGCCCGAACUGCUGCCUGGCCAGCCCAUCCAGCUGUAGAAGGACACAGCUGCCGUCCCUGGCAGUGAACCUGGAUACCCAUGUCCCCACCCUUCUUGCAGCCAUAAGAACGCUGGCCUGUCCUCUCAGGCUACCCAAGGCCCCUGGCUGGUGGCCUCUUCCAGGUCAGUGUACCAUGCCCGAACACAGGUCAGGCUGGUGCGGGCUGCAUCCGGGCUACCCCCAGAGCAAGCAGCACUGUCAUGGGGGAGGAAGCAGCCCUGGCCUUCCUGUCCCCACACCCCAUCUGCAGGCUCCACUCCCACCAUUUCCACUGUUUCCCUCUCUCCU